rnacentral:rRNA from 1 species
CAGUCGCCGCGGUAAUACGAGGGGGGCAAGCGUUGUUCGGAUUUAUUGGGCGUAAAGGGUGCGUUGGCGGUUUGAUAAGUCUGAUGUGAAAUCUAUGGGCUCAACCCAUAGUCUGCAUUAGAAACUGUCGGGCUUGAGUAUGGGAGAGGUGAGUGGAAUUUCCGGUGUAGCGGUGAAAUGCGUAGAUAUCGGGAGGAACACCUGUGGCGAAAGCGGCUCACUGGACCAUAACUGACGCUGAUGCACGAAAGCUAGGGGAGCAAACAGGAUUAGAUACCCCGGUAGUCCCUGUCUCUUAUAC